rnacentral:lncRNA from 1 species
UUUUUUUUUUUUAAGUAGGCUCCACACCCAGCGAGGAGCCCAAUGCGGGGCUCGAACUCAUGACCCCUGAGAUCAAGACCUGAGCUGUGAUCAAGAGUCGGACACUCAGCCAACUGAGCCACCCAGGCGUCCCUCCAGAGUUGACUUGGUUUUAUAGCCGAAUCACGUCCUAGUGCAUGGAUGUAGCUCAGUUGUUUAUCUAAUCUCCUAUUGAUGGGUCUUUGGGAUGUUUCCAGUUUGGACCCUUCGAACUAAGAUGCUAUGAAUGUUCACAUACAAGUCUUUGCAUGGGCAUUUGCUUUCUUUUCUCAUGGGUGAAUACCGAGGAGCAGGACUGCUGGGUCCUAGGAAAGGCGUGUGUCUAACUUUGGAAGAGGCUGCCAGUCGUUUUUCUCCCUGGCUAUGCAGAGAUGCUUUAAGAAAUCAGGGGCCCAGGGAUGCCUGGGUAACUCAGUGGUUUGGUGCCUGCCUUUGGCCACGGUGCGAUCCUGGAGUCCCGGGAUCAAGUCCUGCAUUGGGCUCCUGGCAUGGAGCCUGCUUCUCCCUCUGCCUGUGUCUCUGCCUCUCUCUCUCUAUGUCUAUCAUGAAUAAAUAAAUAAAAAUAAAUCUUUAGAAAAAAAAAAGAAAUCAGGGGCCCUGGGAUGACCUCUUGGGGAGGCUGCACUCCACAUCACAGCAAACCUACAUAAGAACCUGUGAUCCACAUUAAACAGCUUUUUUUCAGAGGCUCUUCGCAUCUUGCUUUUUUGAAAUUAUUUGGUCUCAAGUGACUCAUUUACUAUGUGGGUCCACUGGCAUUUCUUGGCAACCAUGUUAGGGUGCUCUGGCCGAGGAGAUGAUCAAACCCCCAAACUCCUCAUUUAGAGCAAGGCUUUGAUGAACAAUAUAUUUAGCACCUAAUGAACGUCCUUCCCUUUGUCACUGGACUUGUGAACUUCUAUUCACCACUCAAAACCCCACCCAAAAGCCCACACUUCCAUGAAGCUUAUAGGAAACUAACUGCAACCUUCCCCCUCCACCCGCCAAGUCCAGAGCCUGGUGUGUGACCCUGGUGUCACAUCCCCUUGGAGGAGAGCGCUGGAGCACUAUCACAGACAGUGUGUUUGAGCAUAAGGCCUAUAUGCCUCUUUAUAUGCCUCACCCAUGCUGGACACCUGGCACAUCUGUUGACCUGAUUUUUCCAGGAUUCCUUGCAUGUCAGGUGCCCUUACUCAGAACCGCAGGGCUGGGUAGCAGAGGAUACGAGACAACCUUGAAUAAGUUUGUAAACUAUUGAGUGCUGAGGGCAAGGGCCAUGGUUUUCUUCUCAUUCUCCAAAAGAGUUGUCUUUGGCCCCCAAAGAACCGAGAGGGAGAAUCUUCAAUGGCCCCAUAAGAAGUAUUUGCUGAGAGAGGGCUCAGUGACUUCUAACCAUAGAAAGUAAAGGAGGGGACAGAGAGCAUUCAUUCCAUUAGCAUUUGGGAUGCACCUUUGCUCCUUGCACUGGGCCCCGUGGUUGCAGCGGGGAAUAAGACAAACAAGGCCAAGGGGUAAGCAGUAAAUACCUAAAGAUAAUUUCAGAUCCCCAUCAGGGCUAUGACAAGUAAACAUGGGGGAUGUGAUAACGAUUUGAAGGAGGGAGAAUAUCAGAUAGGGAGACCUGGGAGGGCCUCUCUGAAGAGCCCGAAGACCAAAGUGACAAGAAGCAACCAGCCAGGCAAAACUAUGGGGCAGAGUGUUCCAGAUAGAGGGGACAGCCAGUGCAAAGGGCCUGAGUCUGGAACACCUUGCGCUCAUAGACUAGCCGGGUAGCCCUCGGGAUCCUGGCUUUCUGCAGUAUGCAGGGUGAAGGAGGUGAAGACGGGUGUGUGCAAGAGACAGAACAAGAGCCUCUCAUUUCAACCCACGUCUGCUCUGAAGAUUUGGUGAAUGUAUUUGCAAAAUUGAGUCUAUGCAUUCCUUAAAAAAUAUUCUGGAAAAGACAAAACCAUGGAGAUGGUGAAGAGGUCAGCAGUUGCCAGGGUUCAGGAAAAGAGGGAAAGAUGAAUAGGGAGAGCACAGGAGAUUUUUAGGGCAGUGAAAUUAGCCUGUAUGGCACCACAAUGGUGGACUCCUGGCACUCUACGUUGGUCCAAACCCAUGGAAUGCACACCACCAAGAGUGAACCCUAAUGUAUACUGCGGACGCUGGCUAAUAAUAUAUCAAUUUGGUUCAUCAGUUUUAAUAAAUGUACAACACCCAUGCCAGAUGUUGAUUAUAGGGCAGACGGAGGCAGAGUGGGUAAAGAGGGUACGUAGGAGCUUUCUGCCCUGUAGGGAAGCAAGCAAACUUUACCCGCCCCCCUCAAAAUGAGUCUUCAGCAUGUGGGUUAGUUUAGGCUGAUUCAUUCGAAGAAACAGAAGACUCAGGAAACCUUUGACCUUCCCCCAACUGCCAGGAAAAAUAAACUGAUGGAUCGAUUCUAAAGAUAUUUAUUUAUUUAUUUAUUUAUUUUAGAGAGAGAGAGAGAGCACAAGCUGGAGGGAGGGGAGAGGGAAUCUGCAGUAGACUCCGUGC